UACGUAGGGUCCGAGCGUUGUCCGGAAUUAUUGGGCGUAAAGGGCUCGUAGGCGGUUUGUCGCGUCGGGAGUGAAAACCAGGUGCUUAACCCCUGGCCUGCUUUCGAUACGGGCAGACUAGAGGCAUUCAGGGGAGAACGGAAUUCCUGGUGUAGCGGUGAAAUGCGCAGAUAUCAGGAGGAACACCGGUGGCGAAGGCGGUUCUCUGGGAAUGUCCUGACGCUGAGGAGCGAAAGUGUGGGGAGCGAACAGG
rnacentral:rRNA from 1 species